rnacentral:misc_RNA from 1 species
GAUGAAGAAUGUAGCGAAAUGCGAUAAGUAAUGCGAAUUGCAGAAUUCAGUGAAUCAUCGAAUCUUUGAACGCACAUUGCGCCCGCUAGUAUUCUGGCGGGCAUGCCUGUCUGAGCGUCAUUUCAACCCUCGCCCCCGGCUUUUGCUGGGAGCGGUGUUGGGGAUCGGCCGCCCGUCACUGGGAGGCCGGCCCCGAAAUAGAGUGGCGACCACGCCGUGUGCUCCUCUGCGUAGUAGUAAAUCACCUCGCAGGCGGACAGCGGUGCGGCCUGCCGUAAAACCCCCAACUCUUUCUGGUUGACCUCAGAUCAGGUAGGAAUACCCGCUGAACUUAAGCAUAUCAAUAAGCGGAGGA